AGAGUUUGAUCAUGGCUCAGGAUAAACGCUGGCGGCGUGCCUAAAACAUGCAAGUCGUACGGGCAGCUUCGGCUGUCAGUGGCGGACGGCUGAGUAACACGUGGGUGACCUGCCUCCGAGCGGGGGAUAACUGCCCGAAAGGGUGGCUAAUACCGCAAAUGUCGUCGAUCCGUUUCGGCGACUGAAUCCGCAAGGGGCUCGGAGAGGGGCCCGCGGCCGAUUAGCUGGUUGGUGGGGUAACGGCCUACCAAGGCGACGAUCCGUAGCUGGUCUGAGAGGAUGAUCAGCCACACUGGGACUGAGACACGGCCCAGACUCCUACGGGAGGCAGCAGUGGGGAAUCUUGCGCAAUGGGCGAAAGCCUGACGCAGCGACGCCGUGUGCGGGAAGAAGGCCUUCGGGUUGUAAACCGCUUUCAGGAGGGACGAAGCCACUCGGGUUAAUAGCCCAGAGGGUGACGGUACCUCCAGAAGAAGCCCCGGCUAACUACGUGCCAGCAGCCGCGGUAAUACGUAGGGGGCUAGCGUUGUCCGGAUUUAUUGGGCGUAAAGAGCGUGUAGGCGGCCAGGUAGGUCCGCUGUGAAAACUCGAGGCUCAACCUCGAGAUGUCGGUGGAAACCAUCUGGCUAGAGUCCGGAAGAGGAGAGUGGAAUUCCCGGUGUAGCGGUGAAAUGCGCAGAUAUCGGGAAGAAUAUCCGUGGCGAAGGCGGCUCUCUGGGACGGUACUGACGCUGAGACGCGAAAGCGUGGGGAGCGAACAGGAUUAGAUACCCCGGUAGUCC
rnacentral:rRNA from 1 species